AAUAAGAUCAUUUUUCAGUUUUUUGAUAUAAUGUUUUGACUCUUCGUCUUAUUUAAAAUUUUUUUGCGAUUAAUAUUUUUAUUUUUACUAGAUGAUAAAAAAUGAAUAAUAUUUUAUGCGUGAAUAAUUUUUUUAAGUUUUUGUACAAAUUUUUCAAAUAAGACGAAUGGUCAAACGUUGGACACGGAAAAAC
rnacentral:pre_miRNA from 1 species